GCCACUUGUGGCACAAUGGGGCAGUGCAUCUGGCUGUUAACCAGAAGGUUGGUGGUUUGAGCCCAUGCACAGAUGGCU